ACAGAAGAAGAAGAAGAAGAGAAGAAGAGGUGGAGAGUGAGAAACACAGCGGAGUGGAAAUGGAAUCUGGUCCUCCUCCCAAUGAUCUCUGUUCAAUCUGCCAUGCCAACUUUCGCAUUCCUUGUCAAGCCAAUUACUCUCACUGGUUUUGUGCACGCAUCAGGAACAAGCUCUUGCAAAUGCCCUCUCUGUCGCCGACCCAUCACUCUCUUAAUCCCCACCGAACACUCUCUCAGCCCGCGUCAUGAUCCUGAAAUUGCUCAGAUUCUCUUCAAAUUCAUGCUUAUAACCGUGUCUUCGGUGGCCAACCCUCCUCUUUUUUUCAGGCUGCUUCGGGAGUUCCUAAACCCUCAAAGAUCCCUUCUGUGUGUGGCUGGAGUGUGCUGUGUGCAACCAAGGAGAGGGAAGAACAAAAGAGAGCAAGAGAGGAGAUGUUUCAAAAUGUGCAGAGAUAUGCGUGAAGGAAAAUAUCUCUCGAAUAAUAACUAACGCCCUAAAAAAUCUUUGACCAUUUAAUUUAUUAAAUAUAUAUUAAUACAAUAUAGGUAAUGUUGUCGUUCUGGAAAUAUUUGGAAUUGCAGGAUGAAGUGAUUGGAGGAGGUGCCCACUCUUUAUUAUCUUUCCAAGUAUUUCUUUGUCAUAUAACCCUUAUAUUUCUGAAUCGUGCUAUCGUCUUCUGUAGGGUUCCAGUGGUAGAAGAGGAGAAUCAGUAACUCCGACAAGUAGUCGUCUCCUCGCAUUUCGCCCUCGCUCGCUUUUCUCCCUCGCUCGCAGUCGCCGUCGGCCGCAAUCUCGCCGUCAGCGGUGGUCGCGUCGUGCCUCCUUCGGUGGUCGCACUGUUUCUCCUCUGUUUGUGUGAUCUGUUUCGCACUCAUCUGCGUGUGCCUCGCCUCUGUUUCACUCAGCUGUUCGUGUGAUCUGUUUCACUCAUCUGUUCGUGUCCUUCGUGUGGUUUAAUGUAAUGAAAUAUUUUUUGUCUCACAUAAAAACAAUGAAUAUUAUGCGACAAUAAUCAAAUAAGUGUAUAAUGCAAUAACACAUGAACUAAAUUUAGAAACAAUAAAUAAGCAAAAUAAGAAUACAUAAAAUAAAUAAAAUAAAAUACAAACUUA